UUCCAGCCCACAGACAGUGAUGUGCCCAGCUUCCUGGAGGACUGCAACAGGGCCAAGCUACCUCGUGGGAUCCACCAGGUCCGUCCUCAUCUGAAGAACAUUGAUAAUGUGCCUCUUUUGGUGCCACUCUUCACUGACUGCACCCCUGACACCAUGUGUGAGAUGAUGAAGAUCAUGCAGGAGAACAGGGAGGUUACAUGCUGUCUGGGAAGCUCCGCCAAUUUCCGCAACAGCCGCCUGUUCCUACAGAGUGACAUCAGCAUCGCUCUGGACCCUCUGUACCCGUCUCAGUGUUCGUGGGAGACAUUUGGCUAUGCCACCGGAGGAGGCUUCAACGGAGACGCUGAGGGUCUGUCUCCUCUGAGGCUCUCAGGAC